rnacentral:rRNA from 1 species
GGGGGAGAGUGGCGAACGGGUGAGUAAUACAUCGGAAUUUGCCCUGUUGUGGGGGAUAACUANUGGAAAGAUUAGCUAAUACCGCAUACGACUUAAGGGUGAAAGCGGGGGACCUUAAGGCCUCGCGCNAUUGGAAGGGCCGAUGUCCGAUUAGCUAGUUGGUGGGGUAAAGGCCCACCAAGGCGACGAUCCGUAGCUGGUUUGAAAGGAUGAUCAGCCACACUGGGACUGAGACACGGCCCAGACUCCUACGGGAGGCAGCAGUGGGGAAUUUUGGACAAUGGGGGCAAGCCUGAUCCAGCAAUGCCGGGUNNGUGAAGAAGGCCUUCGGGUUGUAAAGCACUUUUGUGCGGAAAGAA